rnacentral:lncRNA from 1 species
GUUCAUUGUAUUUCAAGAUCACACAUUUGGACCAUUCUUCUUCCAGACUCUGCCUCUCUGGAUGGCCCAGCAAAGGUCUUAAGAAAAAAAAUCAGUUCAUAGAAAGACUUCCUGCACCUGGAAAAGACAACUCUAAGCUUUCUUUCGAGACACUGGCAUGAAAUAUCCCCUCAUCCAGGUUCUGCUUGGUUUGUGUUUUGUUUUCACAAGACACCUGAGAAAUUCCUGGACCAUCUUGCUAUCUGACUUUCUGGACAUUUAGAGGUGCUUGGAGUGUUGACAACACCUGCCUACAGUAGGCUUGUUCUAUCAUAAAGUUUGCAAAAUCUUCCUCUAAUUCCAAUUUUAUUAAAGGAGUACAGGUGGCAGUUGCUAUCAUUGUUCUGUUAUUUGUUAUUUUUUUCCUCUCUG